UUUAAAAUCUGGCAGAUGUUUGUCUGUCCGAGUUGUAACCUAGAGAAGUGUAACCUGUGCUGGACCAUGUACAAGUCUCCUGGAAUGGAGCAUCAUAGAGGGUGAGAAUCCCGUCUUUGACAUGGACUACCAGUGCGCUGUGGUUGCACACUCAACGAGUCGAGUUGUUUGGGAAUGCAGCUCUAAAUGGGUGGUAAAUUCCAUCUAAAGCUAAAUAUUGGCGAGAGACCGAUAGCGAACAAGUACCGUGAGGGAAAGAUGAAAAGAACUUUGGAAAGAGAGUUAAACAGUAUGUGAAAUUGUUGAAAGGGAAACGCUUGAAUUCAGCUGCAUUGGCUGGGGAUCAAGCCAGCUUAUUUGCUGGGUGUAUUUCCUGGUUGAUGGGCCAACAUCAGUUUUGACCAUCAGAGAAAGGCUAAGGGAAUGUGGCACCUUUAUAGGUGUGUUAUAGCCCUUGGUUGUAUGUGGUGGUUGGGACUGAGGACAGCAGCGUGCCGCAAGGCCAGGUUUCGACCAUGUUCACGCUUUGGAUGUUGGCAUAAUGGCUUUAAGCGACCCGUCUUGAAACACGGACCAAGGAGUCUAACAUGCAUGCAAGUGUUUGGGUGGAAAACUCGAGCGCGUAAUGAAAGUGAAAGUUGAGAUCCCUCUCACAGGGGAGCAUCGACGCCCAGACCAGAACUUUUGGGACGGAUCUGCGGUAGAGCAAGCAUGUUGGGACCCGAAAGAUGGUGAACUAUGCCUGAAUAGGGUGAAGCCAGAGGAAACUCUGGUGGAGGCUCGUAGCGAUUCUGACGUGCAA
rnacentral:rRNA from 1 species